ACAAAAACAAAAUACAGACAAUACAAUACAAAGAAAAGGUGAAAUUGAAUGUAGGCUAUAUAAUCACAUUUCCUUGAAAAAAUCUUGCAGUACAUCAGCUAUAUAAAUAAUUUUAUUAUUAAUAAUUUGGA